UUAACCUGCAGGUUACUUUCAUAAUUCAUUUCCAAGUUGCGCCACACAUGAAAUCCGAAAGCUCUUCUUAAAAUCUACUGAGUUUGGGCAUCUUUCUACAAAUUUUGUCACCGUGCAAGUGUUUUGCACUGCCCUGGUAACGUAUGCAUGUCUUCUUUUCCAGUUUUUAUCCUUUGGAAAAUUAAAUAUCACACGAAAUGCUUCUAAA
rnacentral:lncRNA from 1 species